UACAGAGGGGGCAAGCGUUAUUCGGAAUUAUUGGGCGUAAAGGGCGCGUAGGCGGCCUGGCAAGUGGAAGGUGAAAUCCCUCGGCUUAACCGAGGAACUGCCCUCCAAACUGCUUGGCUUGAGUCCGGGAGAGGUGAGUGGAAUUCCCAGUGUAGCGGUGAAAUGCGUAGAUAUUGGGAGGAACACCAGUGGCGAAGGCGGCUCACUGGACCGGAACUGACGCUGAGGCGCGAAAGCGGUGGGGAGCAAACAGGG
rnacentral:rRNA from 1 species